ACUAGAAAAAAAUGGGGUGAGUUGAUCAGAAACCAUUUCACAAUAAUGGUGGCUGCCAUUGGUUGGCCUCACGCGUCACUGAUGUACAAUACAGCUGAAUAUCACAAGAUUAUGCAAAUACAUUUACAGUUGAGUGUUUAAAUUACCUCCCAGGAUGAAGGCUCCAACACAAGAUAUGAACCCGGCCAGAAAGCUGUUGAAUGGGAAGGUGCCAACCAGCAAGCAGUACAGAAACUGCAAUGCACCAGUUAACAAGAUGUAGAAAAGGUAGGCGUCGACCACUUUCAAUUUAUUCGAUGUUUUGGUCCUGUAUUCCUCCAAGAAUCGAGAAAUAACUGAAAUUACCGAGUUAGACAUGUUUUCUUAUUAACAAAAGUCUCAAAACGUGCAAAGAGAAUCAGGAUGCAAGUCGCUUCCGUCAGAUGCCGCACAAAAAUGACGUGUCACUGAAACUGGGGUGUAUUCAUUACGCCCAUUCUGCUGCCAAACGUUUCGUCUAUUGCAAAACUGCGAACGGAAAAAGGUUAGUGUUAUCCGGAAUCCUUGGGACGUCCCUACCCUAAACCUAUACCUCAGUGUCCUAAACCCUAACCAGAGAUAUUACAGAAAGGAUGAGAUAGGAAUUAAAUUGGACAAUGAAUGAAAAAACAGGCUCAUAAGCAAACAUUUAAUUUCUACACGGGUUCAGCACGUGACAAAUACAAUUUGAUUUGACAUAUAAAACCCCACCCAGCAGACCGUCGACCAAUCGCGUUCGUUGUCAUGCCGCUUUAUACAAUGGGUGGGUCUAAUCCUGAACGCUGAUUAGUUAAAACUGCAUUCCAGCCUGUGUCUAUUUAAGCAACACGACCCGAGGUGGUGUGGUAUAUGGCCCAUAUAUACCAAAGCUAUGGGCUGUUCUUAGGCACAAAGCAACACGGAAUGCCAUGAUACAACCUUAGCCUUGUUAUAUUGGCCAUAUACCACAAACUCCUGAGGUGCCUUAUUGCUAUUAUAAACUGAUUACCAUCUAAUUAGAGCAGUAAAAUGACAUGUUUUGUCAUACCUGUGGUAUACGGCUUGAAAUGCCACGGCUGUCAGCCAAUCAGCAGUCAGGGCUCGAACUACCCAGUUUAUAAUCCACAAAUGACCACUGGCUAAAUAUAUUACUUUAAAAUGCCUAUUUACUCUGUUCCAUCUGACUGUGCAAUCCACUGUCUCAUCAGCCCAGCCAGGCAAUUAAUAAACUUGAUAUCCACUAUAAAAAUCAUCUAGGCAUUAUCUCACAUUUCUUUUAGACUAACAUGUAUUUCAACAGUGGAGAUUUGUAUAAACCUUGCUGUCUGUCUCUCCAACAUUUGCAACAUUGUUUAUUCAAAUUCGAUCUCCAGCAGUCCCAUAGUACUGAACAUAUUGGGAGUCUGGGUGAGACAGACCGGCAGUAUUUCUCAGCCAGUCAAAAUCAUGAAUCAACGGGCAUAAUUUUUAUGGAUAUAUACAAAGAGAUGUCAAAUAGCCAUAGUUGACUAGCUAACAAGCAAGGGAUAAGGACUAUUCCGGAUUCCAAAUUGAGCAGCAGCUACUGAAAAAAAUGAGCUCCUACAAAUAUUGAAAUCUACAUGGUUUUUAGAGUGAAGUACAUUGGAAAAAGCAAAAGAACGGCAAGACUGAAUUGGAGACAAAACAAGCAACAAACAAAGAAGAUGGGCUUUGGAAAAAGUAACUUUUUUAUAAAAUUGUACAGUUACCGUAGCUAGCUAAAUUGUUUACCAGUUGCUAAGCAGUUGCUAGGGACUCUCCUGGAAGAAGCUAGCUAGCUAACAAAGAAGAUCUAGUUAACAGAAGAAAAGAAAGACAAAAUAAGGACAGAAGAAAAAGUACAUCAAAGUGAAAAGUUCUCUAAAGACACGAGACAAUAGUACAAGAAACAACUCUUCUAUUGCGCUUAUAUUCUAUUUCUAUAGCUUCUUCAAGGUUUCCAAGAUGGCAUAGUCAGACGUCCUCGUCUUGUCCCGUGUAUAUAUGUUUUGUAUCUUUUUGUCUUUUUCUAUAUUAUUUUCUAAAAACUCAACUUCAAAACACUCUCCUGCAACCCGCCUCACCAAAUGUGGUGCGGAUCUGUUUUUUUUCCAAAAGUAUUAUUCACCUCAUAUCCGAAAUCCACAACAGAAGCUAGCCAGAAGUUAGCCAGCUCACUAGCUAACGUUAGUAUUCAGCUAACCACGGCUAUCCUUUUGCUCGGAAAGCUAUCGCCAGUUUUGUACAACGCGACUGAUGACAUUUCUCUGAUACAGGCUAUAGGUUAAAUGUGCACCACCAAGUCAGAACAGUAGACUAAGUUAUGAGGGGGAAAGGGACCAAAUUAUUAGGGUGAGGCACAUGGGCUACUAACAGCUGGGUGAACAUACACAACAUACAUGGGCUACUAACAGCUUACUACACAACAUACAUUAGUUACAUCUCCCAACAUUACAUCUCCCUGGCAUAUUACAUAAUUUAUGCAGCAGCAUACAAUACAUUUUUGGACUGGCCUUGUGCUGUGCUCUCUUGAACAGGAAGGUGGCACGGCGGUCCUUUGUGGGCAAAUUUUGUCAUCUGCCUGGCAUUCUCUGGAUUUAUGGUGCUUUCAAGACACCUGGGAACUCUGGAGGGUUGAUCAGUGAAGGAGCUACACCUGCACUGUGUCUCAGAUGGUUGAAGGAGCAGCUCACAAUGUCUAUGCUGAGGAGUUCAACGGAGUUGUGCAGAGCAUCUGCGACAUUGUAGCCUAACAAAGUCUGUGUGUUUCACUGAUUUAAUGAUGCUUUUUAUGUUUCUCUUUUCAAGAGGUUGUCAUGACUGACAGUAAGAUCACCAUUAUAGUAUCUUGACUUUAUUUCUAGCCACUCCAAUUUGCUUACCGACCCCAAUAGGUCCACAGACGACGCAAUCACACUGCACACUUCCCUAACCCAUCUGGACAAGAGGAAUACCUAUGUAAGAACGCUGUUCAUCGACUACAGCUCAGCAUUUAACACCAUAGUACCCUCCAAACUUGUCAUUAAGCUCGAGACCCUGGGUCUCGACCCCGCCCUGUGCAGCUGUGUCCUGGACUUUCUGACGGGCCGCCCCCAGGUGGUGAGGGUAGGAAACAACAUCUCCAUUCCGCUCAGCCCUGUCCUGUACUCCCUGUUCACCCAUGACCGGGUGGCCAUGCACGCCUCCAACUCAAUCAUCAACUUUGCAGACGACACUACAGUGGUAGGCUUGAUUACCAACAACGACGAGAUGGCCUGCAGGGAGGAGGUGAGGGCCCUCAUAGUGUGGUGUCAGGAAAAUAACCUCACACUGAAUGUCAACAAAACAAAGGAGAUGAUUGUGGACUUCAGGAAACAGUAGAGGGAGCACCCCCCUAUCCACAUCGACGGGACAGUAGUGGAGAAGGUGGAAAGUUCUUCGGCGUACACAUCACGGACAAACUGAAAUGGUCCACCCACACAGACAGCGUGGUGAAGAAGGCGCAACAGCGCAUCUUCAUCCUCAGGAGGCUGAAGAAAUUUGGCUUGUCACCAUAAACACUCACAAAUUUUUACAGAUGCACAAUUGAGAGCAUCACCGCCUGGUACAGCAAUUGCUCCGCCCACAACCAUAAGGCUCUCCAGAGGGUAGUGAGGUCUGCACAACGCAUCACCGGGAGCAAACUACCUGCCAUCCAGGACACCUACAGCACCCCGAUGUCACAGGAAGGCCAAAAAGAUCAUCAAAGACAACAACCCCUUGAGUCAGUACAGGUGCAUCAAACAUGGGGCCGAGAGACUGAAAAACAGCUUCUAUCUCAAGGCCAUCAGACUGUUAAACAACCAUCACUAACAUUGAAUGGCUGCUGACAACAAACUGACUCAGAUCUCUAGCCACUUUAAUAAUUAAAUUGGAUGUAAUAAAUGUAUCACUAGUCACUUUAAACAAUGCCACUUUAUAUAAUGUUUACAAACCCUACAUUACUCAUCCCAUAUGUAUAUACUGUACUCUAUACCAUCUACUGCAUCUUGCCUAUGUCGCACGGCCAUUGCUCAUCCAUAUAUUUAUAUGUACAUAUUCUUAUUCAUUCCUUUACACUUGUAUAAUUGUUAGAUUACUUGUUCAAUAGAUAUUACUGCUAAUUCAGAACUAGAAGCAUUUCGUUACACUCGCAUUGACAUCUGCUAUCCAUGUGUAUGUGACCAAUAACAUUUUAUUUGAAGAGGUUGUUUUAUGACUGCCAAUAUUGUGUUGUAAUGAACUACUCAAUAUGAACAAGGCUAAAUAA